GACGAACGCUGGCGGCGUGCUUAACACAUGCAAGUCGAGCGGAAAGGCCCUUUCGGGGGUACUCGAGCGGCGAACGGGUGAGUAACACGUGAGUAAUCUGCCCUGGACUCUGGGAUAGCCACCGGAAACGGUGAUUAAUACCGGAUAUGACACCUUGCUGCAUGGUGGGGUGUGGAAAGUUUUUUCGGUCCAGGAUGUGCUCGCGGCCUAUCAGCUUGUUGGUGGGGUAAUGGCUCACCAAGGCUUUGACGGGUAGCCGGCCUGAGAGGGUGACCGGUCACACUGGGACUGAGACACGGCCCAGACUCCUACGGGAGGCAGCAGUGGGGAAUAUUGGACAAUGGGCGGAAGCCUGAUCCAGCAACGCCGCGUGAGGGAUGACGGCCUUCGGGUUGUAAACCUCUUUCAGUACCGACGAAGCGUGAGUGACGGUAGGUACAGAAGAAGGACCGGCCAACUACGUGCCAGCCGCCGCCGUAACAC
rnacentral:rRNA from 1 species